CACAUGCAAGUCGAACGGAAAGGCCCUUUCGGGGGUGCUCGAGUGGCGAACGGGUGAGUAACACGUGGGUGAUCUGCCCUGCACUUUGGGAUAAGCCUGGGAAACUGGGUCUAAUACCGAAUACACCCUGCUGGCCGCAUGGUCUGGUGGGGGAAAGCUUUUGCGGUGUGGGAUGGGCCCGCGGCCUAUCAGCUUGUUGGUGGGGUGAUGGCCUACCAAGGCGACGACGGGUAGCCGGCCUGAGAGGGUGUCCGGCCACACUGGGACUGAGAUACGGCCCAGACUCCUACGGGAGGCAGCAGUGGGGAAUAUUGCACAAUGGGCGCAAGCCUGAUGCAGCGACGCCGCGUGGGGGAUGACGGCCUUCGGGUUGUAAACCUCUUUCAGUACCGACGAAGCGCAAGUGACGGUAGGUACAGAAGAAGCACCGGCCAACUACGUGCCAGCAGCCGCGGUAAUACGUAGGGUGCGAGCGUUGUCCGGAAUUACUGGGCGUAAAGAGCUCGUAGGUGGUUUGUCGCGUUGUCCGUGAAAACUCACAGCUUAACUGUGGGCGUGCGGGCGAUACGGGCAGACUGGAGUACUGCAGGGGAGACUGGAAUUCCUGGUGUAGCGGUGGAAUGCGCAGAUAUCAGGAGGAACACCGGUGGCGAAGGCGGGUCUCUGGGCAGUAACUGACGCUGAGGAGCGAAAGCGUGGGGAGCGAACAGGAUUAGAUACCCUGGUAGUCCACGCCGUAAACGGUGGGUACUAGGUGUGGGUUUCCUUCCUUGGGAUCCGUGCCGUAGCUAACGCAUUAAGUACCCCGCCUGGGGAGUACGGCCGCAAGGCUAAAACUCAAAGGAAUUGACGGGGGCCCGCACAAGCGGCGGAGCAUGUGGAUUAAUUCGAUGCAACGCGAAGAACCUUACCUGGGUUUGACAUGCACAGGACGCCGGCAGAGAUGUCGGUUCCCUUGUGGCCUGUGUGCAGGUGGUGCAUGGCUGUCGUCAGCUCGUGUCGUGAGAUGUUGGGUUAAGUCCCGCAACGAGCGCAACCCUUGUCUCAUGUUGCCAGCACGUGAUGGUGGGGACUCGUGAGAGACUGCCGGGGUCAACUCGGAGGAAGGUGGGGAUGACGUCAAGUCAUCAUGCCCCUUAUGUCCAGGGCUUCACACAUGCUACAAUGGCCGGUACAAAGGGCUGCGAUGCCGUGAGGUGGAGCGAAUCCUUUCAAAGCCGGUCUCAGUUCGGAUCGGGGUCUGCAACUCGACCCCGUGAAGUCGGAGUCGCUAGUAAUCGCAGAUCAGCAACGCUGCGGUGAAUACGUUCCCGGGCCUUGUACACACCGCCCGUCACGUCAUGAAAGUCGGUAACACCCGAAGCCGGUGGCCUAACCCUUGUGGAGGGAGCCGUCGAAGGUGGGAU
rnacentral:rRNA from 1 species